rnacentral:rRNA from 1 species
CGCCUUCAGAGGGGGACAACAGUUGGAAACGACUGCUAAUACCGCAUACGAUCUAAUCUCGGCAUCGAGGAUGGAUGAAAGGUGGCCUCUAUUUAUAAGCUAUCACUGAAGGAGGGGAUUGCGUCUGAUUAGCUAGUUGGAGGGGUAACGGCCCACCAAGGCGAUGAUCAGUAGCCGGUCUGAGAGGAUGAACGGCCACAUUGGGACUGAGACACGGCCCAG